UAGGUAGAUAUCGUAAAAAUAAAUGGUUACUGAAAUACUUAUUUAUUGUAUUCUUACUACAGGAUACUAGUGUACCUUCAACAACUUAAUACGAGUUAAUUAUUACAUAAUAUAUGCGUGCCAGUAGCUGAACAGCUUUGUGUGUUUUGCACAGCAUAGAAGAUAGAUUCAUGCCAUUGGCUAAUUUAUAUAAUUAAUUAACAUUGAGCAUUCAUUGAGUUAUGAGGGCUAUGACCCUGAUAUAUCUAAGUAUAUAUUAUAUAACCGUAC